ACUCCUACGGGAGGCAGCAGUGGGGAAUAUUGCACAAUGGGCGCAAGCCUGAUGCAGCCAUGCCGCGUGUAUGAAGAAGGCCUUCGGGUUGUAAAGUACUUUCAGCAGUGAGGAAGGUGGGUAUGUUAAUAGCAUAUCAUUUGACGUUAGCUGCAGAAGAAGCACCGGCUAACUCCGUGCCAGCAGCCGCGGUAAUACGGAGGGUGCGAGCGUUAAUCGGAAUUACUGGGCGUAAAGCGCAUGCAGGUGGUUUGUUAAGUCAGAUGUGAAAGCCCGGGGCUCAACCUCGGAAUUGCAUUUGAAACUGGCAAACUAGAGUACUGUAGAGGGGGUAGAAUUUCAGGUGUAGCGGUGAAAUGCGUAGAGAUCUGAAGGAAUACCGGUGGCGAAGGCGGCCCCCUGGACAGAUACUGACACUCAGAUGCGAAAGCGUGGGGAGCAAACAGGAUUAGAUACCCCUGGUAGGCUCUAGGUCUAGGGUCGUACGGAA
rnacentral:rRNA from 1 species